UGGAGUACUUGAGAAAGGCAUCAUAUUUCAGCUGGGUCCUGAAGAAUGAGAUUUUCCAUAUAAGAAGCAGAGGAGGAACAUUCUAGGUUCUCACCAGGUUUUUGGGCUCCUCCACUCCUAUUAUGUACUGGUUUCCAGCUCACUUGCUUCAGGAUCAAGAGCCGCUGUUGAGAUCCUUAAAGACUGUGCCUUGGAAGCCUCUUGCAGAGGACUCCCCACCAGGACAAAAGGUCCCCAGAAAUCCUAUCAUGGGACUUUUGUAUCACUGGAAAACCUGUUCUCCAGUCACACGAUACAUUCUAGGCUACUUCCUGACUUACUGGCUCCUGGGACUACUCCUACAUUGCAACUUCCUGCCUUGGACAUGACCUGGACUCUCCAGGGACAGGUUGGAAGCCAACUUAACCCAGGGGUCUGAAAGUAAAAAUACACAUUGGAACUGCCUCUGCUGCCCUGGGAUCAUUACUGUGUCCAUUAUAAUCUUUCUCUUUCUCUUUGAAAGCUGGUCAGGAAUGGGAGAAGUGUCAGACGCUAGAGAGCCCCUUCUGGUCCUGGCUAGGGCAAAUUUUAGACAACUAUUUUCUCUGUAAGUGAAGAUUGUCGUAUUCCAAGUCUAAAAUACACCUGGAUCUGUCUAGUCAAUCAAUAUAGCAGAGACAGUCUUAAACCUACCAUUGACCUGUGUGUAAAUUUAAAUGUCAAUUUAUUGAAGUGUAAAUUUCAUCAAAGGCAUUAGCUGACAGGCUGGUAACAGUCCACACAAGAUGGUACAGGCCUGAACAGUGUAGUGGCAGUAAUAAAGUGGGACCAUUUUUUC
rnacentral:lncRNA from 1 species